GGGCUCUAGAGGGGCUGUGGAGGCUGUGCUUGCUUGAGGAGCCAGUCCAGUGGUUCCUGCUGGAUUUCUCCCAGUGUGAACCACCUCCCUGCUGCAGAGGUGAGGUGUGUUCAUGGGAUCCUCCUUGGGAAUCCUCCCAGCUUGGGCUCCUGCUGGUGGUUAGGAGCUGCCCCUGACAGUAAGUCUGUGUUCUCCCUGGAUGGAGCAGCUGCCUGCAAGGCGGUGGGUGUCUCAUGUCCUGGCUUUUCAGAGGAGUGGGACAGUGCAACAUGAAGUGGUCAAAGUAUCCAACUACUGUUUCUACUAAUUGUCUUCUAAAAGUACUGGCAUGUCUGAGGAGCUGCUUGUCAUGAAUGGUUUGCGCCUUCACUGCAGGCAGCAGCAAACCUUCUCAGAGCCUUAAUUGGCAUAAAUCAAUGAAGAUUACUUUGGGCUGGAUGUGUUCUCUAUUUAAAAGGAGCAAACUUCAAGAGGCAGAAUUGCUGAAGACUGGAGAAAUAAAAGACGAGCUGGAGACGCUGAUGGAAAUCUCUAUAUAUGCAGACCUGUGAAUGCUACAUGUGGAUCUUGAAAAUUCUUCUUCCCUGCCCACUGUGCCACAGAAGCAGGUGGAAACUGGAAGUGAAAUCAUGGGAACUUCCUUAAUUUUCUCUGCAGUAUUGCAGCUGCUGCUUUCUAAUAGUUUAAGAAGGAGCUUU
rnacentral:lncRNA from 14 species